rnacentral:rRNA from 1 species
UACGGGGGGGGCAAGCGUUGUUCGGAAUUACUGGGCGUAAAGGGCGCGUAGGCGGUUGGAUAAGUCAGCUGUGAAAACCACGGGCUUAACUCGUGGCCUGCAGUUGAGACUGUCUGGCUUGAGUGUGGGAGAGGAGAGUGGAAUUCCUGGUGUAGCGGUGAAAUGCGUAGAUAUCAGGAGGAACACCGUGGCGAAGGCGGCUCUCUGGGACCGACUGACGUGAGGCGACGAAGACGUGGGGAGCAAACAGGAUUAGAACC